UACCUGCUACUCCACUAAAUCUUGCUGUCAUCUGCAUGCGGCCUUCUAGGUCAUUGUGUGUUGCCUUUUGAAUGAAUCUAAAUGUUGCAACAUGCACAAAAAAUGCUUUCUUGCUUUUCAACCACUUAUUGCUGCGAAUCUACAUUCUCCUACUUAACCAAAAUCAAGACACCCUUAGGGUCACAAAUGACGGAUACCCAGCUAGAGGAUCAGCUAAAACUGCAGACCUCCACGCUGCAACCAAAUAUUCAAGUGCUUUCCUACAAAAAGAAGUCAUAACAAAGUAAUUAAAAGAGCACAGCAUCCAGUCAGCAGCAGGAGACAUCACCACAAUGAGAGGACCAUCAAGCAUUUUCAGUUGGUUCAACUCAAAGGACUGAAGAAGGCUAAAAGAAGAAACAGAUGGCGUAGUGAUGGUAUCGAGCUCAGCCAGUUGGACAUCAUAGAACUUGAGUUCCCUCACUGGGGCUGUAAAUCUAGUCCAAUCAGGGAGCCUUGGCUGACAGGAGUGUCAGAGGUUCUGUUCACUCUGAGAACUGGCUCUG